UAACGCGUGGAUAACCUGCCUCACACUGGGGGAUAACAGUUAGAAAUGACUGCUAAUACCGCAUAAGCGCACAGUACCGCAUGGUACAGUGUGAAAAACUCCGGUGGUGUGAGAUGGAUCCGCGUCUGAUUAGCCAGUUGGCGGGGUAACGGCCCACCAAAGCGACGAUCAGUAGCCGACCUGAGAGGGUGACCGGCCACAUUGGGACUGAGACAUGGCCCAA
rnacentral:rRNA from 1 species